rnacentral:rRNA from 1 species
AGAGUUUGAUCCUGGCUCAGGACGAACGCUGGCGGCGUGCUUAACACAUGCAAGUCGAGCGAGCCUUCGGGCUAGCGGCGAACGGGUGAGUAACACGUGAGCAACCUGCCUCCUGCUCUGGGAUAGCCUCCGGAAACGGGGAUUAAUACCGGAUAUGGCCUGCUCCUGCAUGGGGGCGGGCGGAAAGUUUUUCGGCGGGAGAGGGGCUCGCGGCCUAUCAGCUUGUUGGGGGGGUGACGGCCCACCAAGGCGACGACGGGUAGCCGGCCUGAGAGGGCGACCGGCCACACUGGGACUGAGACACGGCCCAGACUCCUACGGGAGGCAGCAGUGGGGAAUAUUGCGCAAUGGGGGGAACCCUGACGCAGCGACGCCGCGUGCGGGAUGACGGCCUUCGGGUUGUAAACCGCUUUCAGCAGGGGCGAAUGUGACGGUACCUGCAGAAGAAGCGCCGGCUAACUACGUGCCAGCAGCCGCGGUAAUACGUAGGGCGCGAGCGUUGUCCGGAUUUAUUGGGCGUAAAGAGCUCGUAGGCGGCUUGUUGCGUCUGCUGUGAAAUCCCGGGGCUUAACCCCGGGCGUGCAGUGGAUACGGGCAGGCUGGAGGCAGGCAGGGGAGAACGGAAUUCCCGGUGUAGCGGUGAAAUGCGCAGAUAUCGGGAGGAACACCGGUGGCGAAGGCGGUUCUCUGGGCCUGUUCUGACGCUGAGGAGCGAAAGCGUGGGGAGCGAACAGGAUUAGAUACCCCAGUAGUCC